GAUGAACGCUGGCGGCGUGCCUAAUACAUGCAAGUCGAGCGAACGGACGAGAAGCUUGCUUCUCUGAUGUUAGCGGCGGACGGGUGAGUAACACGUGGAUAACCUACCUAUAAGACUGGGAUAACUUCGGGAAACCGGAGCUAAUACCGGAUGAUAUUUUGAACCGCAUGGUUCAAAAGUGAAAGACGGUGUUGCUGGCACGUAUAGAUGGAUCCGCGCUACAUUAGCCAGUUGGUAAGGUAACGGCUUACCAAGGCAACGAUGCAUAGCCGACCUGAGAGGGUGAUCGGCCACCCUGGAACUGAGACACGGUCCAGACUCCUACGGGACGCCGCAGUCGCGAAUCUUCCGCAAUGGGCGAAAGCCUGACGGAGCAACGCCGCGUGAGUGAUGAAGGUCUUCGGAUCGUAAAACUCUGUUAUUAGGGAAGAACAUAUGUGUAAGUAACUGUGCACAUCUUGACGGUACCUAAUCAGAAAGCCACGGCUAACUACGUG
rnacentral:rRNA from 1 species